rnacentral:rRNA from 1 species
AGAGUUUGAUCCUGGCUCAGGACGAACGCUGGCGGUGCGCCUAAUGCAUGCAAGUCGAACGGGCGGAGGGGCUUCGGCCCCCGAGCUAGUGGCAGACGGCUGAGUAACACGUAAGUGAUCUGCCCCGGAGAGGGGGAUAACCCGGAGAAGUCCGGCCUAAUACCCCGUACGCUCCCUUUACUGCGGUAUAGGGAGGAAAAGUUCCGGCGCUCUGGGAGGAGCUUGCGGCCUAUCAUGGUAGUUGGUGGGGUAAAAGCCUACCAAGCCGAAGACGGGUAACCGGUGUGAGAGCACGAUCGGUCAGAGGGGGACUGAGACACGGCCCCCACUCCUACGGGAGGCAGCAGCAGGGAAUCUUGCGCAAUGGGCGAAAGCCUGACGCAGCGACACCGCGUGGGGGAUGAAGGCUUUCGAGUUGUAAACCCCUUUUCCCGGGGAUGAGAAAGGACAGUACCCGGGGAAUAAGGUUCGGCCAACUACGUGCCAGCAGCCGCGGUAAUACGUAGGAACCGAGCGUUGUCCGGAUUUACUGGGCGUAAAGUGCGCGUAGGCGGUCUGUAAAGUCUCAUGUGAAAUCUCCCGGCUCANCUGGGA